rnacentral:sRNA from 1 species
GCUGGACGUGGUGGCUCAUGCCUGAAAUCCUAGCUAUUCAGGAAGCUGAGGCAGGAGGAUCAUAAGUUCAAGGCUAGCCUGGGCAGCUUAGUGAGACUCUGUCUCAA